rnacentral:rRNA from 1 species
UACGGGGGGGGCAAGCGUUGUUCGGAAUUACUGGGCGUAAAGGGCUCGUAGGCGGCCAACUAAGUCCGACGUGAAAUCCCUCGGCUUAACCGGGGAACUGCGUCUGAUACUGGAUGGCUAGAGGUUGGGAGAGGGAUGCAGAAUUCCAGGUGUAGCGGUGAAAUGCAUAGAUAUCUGGAGGAACACCGGUGGCGAAGGCGGGUCUCUGGGCCGUAACUGACGCUGAGGAGCGAAAGCGUGGGGGAGCGAACAGG